GACGAACGCUGGCGGCGCGCCUAACACAUGCAAGUCGAACGAGAGAGAAGGAGCUUGCUUCUUCGAUCGAGUGGCGAACGGGUGAGUAACGCGUGAGGAACCUGCCUCAAAGAGGGGGACAACAGUUGGAAACGACUGCUAAUACCGCAUAAGCCCACAGGUCGGCAUCGACCAGAGGGAAAAGGAGUAAUCCGCUUUGAGAUGGCCUCGCGUCCGAUUAGCUAGUUGGUGAGGUAAUGGCCCACCAAGGCGACGAUCGGUAGCCGGACUGAGAGGUUGAACGGCCACAUUGGGACUGAGACACGGCCCAGACUCCUACGGGAGGCAGCAGUGGGGAAUAUUGCACAAUGGGGGAAACCCUGAUGCAGCGACGCCGCGUGGAGGAAGAAGGUCUUCGGAUUGUAAACUCCUGU
rnacentral:rRNA from 1 species